rnacentral:rRNA from 1 species
CCCUUAGAUGUUCUGGGCCGCACGCGCGCUACACUGACGAUGGCAACGAGUUUUUCCUUCGCCGAAAGGUGUGGGUAAUCUUUUGAAACAUCGUCGUGCUGGGGAUAGAUCAUUGCAAUUUUUGAUCUUGAACGAGGAAUUCCUAGUAAGCGCGAGUCAUCAGCUCGCGUUGAUUACGUCCCUGCCCUUUGUACACACCGCCCGUCGCUACUACCGAUUGAAUGGUUUAGUGAGGACUCCUGAUUGGCGCCGCCGCCCCGGCAACGGAGCAGCGGACUGCCGAGAAGUUGUUCAAACUUGAUCAUUUAGAGGAAGUAAAAGUCGUAACA